UGACUUUGAGGUUCUGCUCCGUUGUAUCUCAUUAUGCGUUUUUUUCACUAGAUAAGGAAGUUGCGUGUUAUCAGAAAUCUCCUGGUUCUUUAAAUUCUUUAGACCAUGAGCAAAUCACCUCUUAAACCUUUCUGAAAUAAUUAUUUGCACUUUAUAGGUCUCUUACCAAAUGACAGAUUUCCCAUACCUUCAUUAAUGCUUGCAGUUCUUUUCUAAUGAUUCUUUGUUUUCUUUUGCCAAAAGUGUCUGCUGUACACUGAAGCUGGCUAAUUUAUCUAGCUAAAAUAACUGAUAGUGUAUUUUAUUCAUGAAUAUUUUGAUUGCAGUAUCAGCAGCAGUAGAAGGUUUUUGACCUUGGCUUCAUGUUUUUAAUCCUUUAGGUUACUUCUCUUUAGAUUCCCUCUUACACCACCCACCCAGCCCGUUGAAAGUUAAUAUCUGAGACUUCAGAAACUAAAGUUCCUGUCUGAUGAAAAAGCUCAACUAUUACGACUGCUACUGUGGAAGUCAGUACGCUGUAUCUGCCAUUGGUCCUUUCAGAUAGUUGAUACAUACUGUCUCACCUAAUACAUUGCUUUUAGUCUGCAGUGGAGCCAGAAUCACUCUGAUCAGGUUCCCUUACAGGUAAAAAGAACAUUCACUCUGAUCUGGUCUUGUUUUGCUGUCUUCUGCAGAAAUUUGUUGGUGGAAUUUAAUGACAAGUAGAAAGCAUUUUGAAGUUUAAUGCCAGGAUAAGAGGAUACUACUAUCUUGAGCAGAACUUGCUCCAAGGAGGCUGAAGCCAAAGAUGAUGUGUGGUGGUUGAAAACAUUUUGCUAUUUCUAGGAAAGAGCCAUAUUAAUGAGGGGCACCCCAGAGAAAAACCAAAAGACUUUCAGAUAACGUCUCAAAUGUCCAGCUGGACAUGUGCUUUAAUGGGGUUUUGUGGUGAUGUGGUGGUGGUUUUUUUGGUUGUAUGGUGUUUUUUUUGUGUGUGUUUUGGGUUUUGGGGUUUGUUUUUGUGUGUGCGUGUGGUGGUUUUUUUUUCUUUUUUUUUUUUUUUUUUUUUUUUUUUUUUUUUUUGUGGUGUGUGUUUGUUGUUUGGUUUUUCUUUUUUCCUGGUCAG
rnacentral:lncRNA from 1 species